rnacentral:lncRNA from 1 species
GAAAAAACAUAAACUGGGACGACAUCCAUUUCACAAAAUCAAUGGACAAGAACCCGGCUAAUCUCUUUCUCGAUCAUAGCUUUUGCCAAUCUUCAUUUGAUAAGCUGAUCAUUAGCAAAUAUAAUAAAUAAAAUCAGCAUUUCCAACAUUGCCUGAAGGGUUUAUAGUGUCGGAUCAAUUCAUCCAAAGAGCAAAGUGGAAACACAAGUUCUGGUAAUAAUCAACUUUUAAUAAUUAUCUUAC